CUGUGAGCUCGAUGAGUAGGGCGGGACACGUGGUAUCCUGUCUGAAUAUGGGGGGACCAUCCUCCAAGGCUAAAUACUCCUGACUGACCGAUAGUGAACCAGUACCGUGAGGGAAAGGCGAAAAGAACCCCGGCGAGGGGAGUGAAAAAGAACCUGAAACCGUGUACGUACAAGCAGUGGGAGCACAGAGCAAUCUGUGUGACUGCGUACCUUUUGUAUAAUGGGUCAGCGACUUAUAUUCUGUAGCAAGGUUAACCGAAUAGGGGAGCCGAAGGGAAACCGAGUCUUAACUGGGCGUUAAGUUGCAGGGUAUAGACCCGAAACCCGGUGAUCUAGCCAUGGGCAGGUUGAAGGUUGGGUAACACUAACUGGAGGACCGAACCGACUAAUGUUGAAAAAUUAGCGGAUGACUUGUGGCUGGGGGUGAAAGGCCAAUCAAACCGGGAGAUAGCUGGUUCUCCCCGAAAGCUAUUUAGGUAGCGCCUCGUGAAUUCAUCUCCGGGGGUAGAGCACUGUUUCGGCAAGGGGGUCAUCCCGACUUACCAACCCGAUGCAAACUGCGAAUACCGGAGAAUGUUAUCACGGGAGACACACGGCGGGUGCUAACGUCCGUCGUGAAGAGGGAAACAACCCAGACCGCCAGCUAAGGUCCCAAAGUCAUGGUUAAGUGGGAAACGAUGUGGGAAGGCCCAGACAGCCAGGAUGUUGGCUUAGAAGCAGCCAUCAUUUAAAGAAAGCGUAAUAGCUCACUGGUCGAGUCGGCCUGCGCGGAAGAUGUAACGGGGCUAAACCAUGCACCGAAGCUGCGGCAGCGACGCUUAUGCGUUGUUGGGUAGGGGAGCGUUCUGUAAGCCUGUGAAGGUGUACUGUGAGGUAUGCUGGAGGUAUCAGAAGUGCGAAUGCUGACAUAAGUAACGAUAAAGCGGGUGAAAAGCCCGCUCGCCGGAAGACCAAGGGUUCCUGUCCAACGUUAAUCGGGGCAGGGUGAGUCGACCCCUAAGGCGAGGCCGAAAGGCGUAGUCGAUGGGAAACAGGUUAAUAUUCCUGUACUUGGUGUUACUGCGAAGGGGGGACGGAGAAGGCUAUGUUGGCCGGGCGACGGUUGUCCCGGUUUAAGCGUGUAGGCUGGUUUUCCAGGCAAAUCCGGAAAAUCAAGGCUGAGGCGUGAUGACGAGGCACUACGGUGCUGAAGCAACAAAUGCCCUGCUUCCAGGAAAAGCCUCUAAGCAUCAGGUAACAUCAAAUCGUACCCCAAACCGACACAGGUGGUCAGGUAGAGAAUACCAAGGCGCUUGAGAGAACUCGGGUGAAGGAACUAGGCAAAAUGGUGCCGUAACUUCGGGAGAAGGCACGCUGAUAUGUAGGUGAAGUCCCUCGCGGAUGGAGCUGAAAUCAGUCGAAGAUACCAGCUGGCUGCAACUGUUUAUUAAAAACACAGCACUGUGCAAACACGAAAGUGGACGUAUACGGUGUGACGCCUGCCCGGUGCCGGAAGGUUAAUUGAUGGGGUCAGCGCAAGCGAAGCUCUUGAUCGAAGCCCCGGUAAACGGCGGCCGUAACUAUAACGGUCCUAAGGUAGCGAAAUUCCUUGUCGGGUAAGUUCCGACCUGCACGAAUGGCGUAAUGAUGGCCAGGCUGUCUCCACCCGAGACUCAGUGAAAUUGAACUCGCUGUGAAGAUGCAGUGUACCCGCGGCAAGACGGAAAGACCCCGUGAACCUUUACUAUAGCUUGACACUGAACAUUGAGCCUUGAUGUGUAGGAUAGGUGGGAGGCUUUGAAGUGUGGACGCCAGUCUGCAUGGAGCCGACCUUGAAAUACCACCCUUUAAUGUUUGAUGUUCUAACGUUGACCCGUGAUCCGGGUUGCGGACAGUGUCUGGUGGGUAGUUUGACUGGGGCGGUCUCCUCCUAAAGAGUAACGGAGGAGCACGAAGGUUGGCUAAUCCUGGUCGGACAUCAGGAGGUUAGUGCAAUGGCAUAAGCCAGCUUGACUGCGAGCGUGACGGCGCGAGCAGGUGCGAAAGCAGGUCAUAGUGAUCCGGUGGUUCUGAAUGGAAGGGCCAUCGCUCAACGGAUAAAAGGUACUCCGGGGAUAACAGGCUGAUACCGCCCAAGAGUUCAUAUCGACGGCGGUGUUUGGCACCUCGAUGUCGGCUCAUCACAUCCUGGGGCUGAAGUAGGUCCCAAGGGUAUGGCUGUUCGCCAUUUAAAGUGGUACGCGAGCUGGGUUUAGAACGUCGUGAGACAGUUCGGUCCCUAUCUGCCGUGGGCGCUGGAGAACUGAGGGGGGCUGCUCCUAGUACGAGAGGACCGGAGUGGACGCAUCACUGGUGUUCGGGUUGUCAUGCCAAUGGCACUGCCCGGUAGCUAAAUGCGGAAGAGAUAAGUGCUGAAAGCAUCUAAGCACGAAACUUGCCCCGAGAUGAGUUCUCCCUGACUCCUUGAGAGUCCUGAAGGAACGUUGAAGACGACGACGUUGAUAGGCCGGGUGUGUAAGCGCAGCGAUGCGUUGAGCUAACCGGUACUAAUGAACCGUGAGGCUUAACCUUACAACGCCGAAGGUGUUU
rnacentral:rRNA from 1 species